rnacentral:lncRNA from 10 species
CUCGUCUUAAUCAAGGAAUCCUGACUUAACCUUAUUCUUUCUCACAGACACAGUUCAAUGCUGCAAUGGAGCCUGUGGUGAGCACUGAUUCAAUAGGUGGUUUGCCUCCUUAGACGCAGAAUCACAGGACUAGAAGGAGUGAAAACAACACUUUAUCUCUACAUUGGCUUCAGGGAGGACAGUGCCCAAACCACCUCAAGUACAGAAUAAUUUACUCUCAUUUAGAAGAUCUCCAGACAGAGCUCGAAUGGCUCCCUUGGCAACAAAUUUUAGUUUUAACAAUCUUUGUAGCUUUAUCCUUCCCUCCAGAUAAUGCCAUAACUGUGUACUCUAGAUUAAACGUUUUCUCCUUUUCUGCCCACAGUGCUUUUGAAGCCAAACAUGAUUUCACAUAUAGUGUUGGGUCAUCAUUAAGUCACCUUUCAGAAGUCCCUCUAAAUUAAGGAGUCCUCAUCCUUUCCUUAAAUUUUUCAUGUGUCCUGACCUAUGAGAAUCUGUUAUACGCAUGUUUAAUUUCUAUGGAAUACCUCAUCAUACAACUUGAAAUUCUGAUUGACUAGUGGUUUUUUUCCUGCAUAAGUGCUACUUCAUCUAUGCCUCAGUAACAAACAACAACAAUCACUUAAUGGAAAUGGUGGCAGGCAGAAUUCUAAGAUAGCUGCCAGAUUCCUGCCGCCCCUGGUGUGCAUUCCUUGAUAAUCACUCUCCUUUGAGUGCAGGCAGACCUGUGUGUAUGAUACCACUGCUAUGAUUACAUUGCUCAUCAGGCGACUGUGAGCUAGCCAAAAUGGAGAAUAUUCUGGUGGGUCUGACCUAGCCAGGUGAGCCCGUUUCUGAGUCAUAGAGAUUGAAAGUGUGAGAGGGAUUUGAUGUGAGGGGGAAUUCUCUGUUGCUGGUUUUGAGUAUAAAAGGGGCCAUAUAAUAAAGACUUGAGAGUGGUCACUAGUUGCUGAGAUCCAUCCCUAAUUGAAGCUAGCAAGAAACACUUCUACCAACAACUUGAAGGAAUUUGGAAAAGAAUCCUUCCCUAGUCAAGUCUCUAGAGGGGAAUGCAGCUAACUGACACCUUGAUUUCAGCCUCGUGAGACCCUGAACAGAGAUAUCAACCACUCAGUUGCCUGGACCUCUGACAGAAAUGAAAGAUAAUAAAUGUCUGUUGUUUUAAGCCACUAAGUUUAUGGAAAUUUGUUACACAGCAAUGGAAAACCAAUAUAGGCCCCUAUCCAUGAGUUACAUUGUAGUAAACACCUUUCCUACAUUAUAGAUAUCUCAUCUAACUCCUACAGCAACCCUUGAGGUAAUCACUGUGUCCAUUGUCAGAGCAAGAAAACUGAAGCUCGGCUUCAUAAACAGAAGCAGCAAGGAUUGAUUCCUUAAAUACUGUGAAUUCCACUCUCACUUUAUUUGAAUUUGUGACAGUGAAAUUCACAGUAUUCUUUAAACAUUUUACCCCCAAGCGAUGCUCUUUCCUCUGAAUUGCUUUGCCUGUCCUAAUAAUUUUAUUUAUACAGGCUGAUGCUGGUGACUUGGGAAUAGUAUUUUUAUCCAAACCAUUUGGCUUCUUAUAGGUAUGAGCCACUGAGGGAGCUAUUUUUUAUUUAAUUGUGCUUUGGAAAAAUCAAACGUAGCCUUGAGUUUUAAAAUUAUUAAGCUUACACUUUUUCACAAAAUAGAAAUGGAGUAAUAUAGCUCUGUCCUUCCGUUUUUUAAAGCCAAAAAAUGUAAGAAUGGAAUGUACUGGCUCACUGCUCCCACGGUGUCCUUACCAGCACAACUUACCCCAUCCCUCCCUAGCCCACUCUUGAGGAUACUUUCUUGCCACUGUCAGGCUUACUCCUGCCUCCUAGACUGAGGAAAGAAAAGCCUCCUGGUUUGGAGCUCAUAAUCAAGUCAGCCUUGCUGCAGGGCUCAUUUUAAGCCAGUAUCCUGGACCAGAUAAGGAAGCUGAAGCUUUGAGAAUUUAAUUUGCUCAAGGGGAGGCCAGGACAAGAAAUAAUGAAGAGUCCGAUGUGGCAGGAAUGUAGGAAACAAGUCAAUGAUGGAAGAUAAAUAUGGAGACGUGAUGAAGGCAAAAUUCUGAAGGGUCUUAGAGCCCAUUAUAAGACGUUUGGUUUUUAUGAGCCUCCCAGUGACCACUCUUCAGACAAAACUUCUUAUAAUAGCUUCCUUCCCUGAAUCUUUUGCGAAACAUCAAAUCACAAAGAGAUCUUAUUGUGAGUAUUACCUAAAAUUUUUUCCUGUCUUAUGUAGCAAAGAGGGAAGUCACUGAGUCAGCUUAGAUAUGUGUAUGUGUUCUAAAAAAAAUGAAUGUAUCCAUGUGACUUUUUUUUCUUUUUUUUUUUUUUUUGAGAUGGAGUUUUGCUCUGUCACCCAGGCUGGAGUGCAGUGGCGUGAUCUCUGCUCACUGCAACCUCCACCUCCUGGGUUCAAGUGAUUCUCCUGCCUCAGCUUCCCGAGUAGCCUGCCACCACACGUGGUUAAUUUUGUAUUUUUAGUAGAAAUGGGUUUUCACCAUGUUAGCCAGGCUCGUCUCAAAUUUCUAACCUUCAGUGAUCUGCCUACCUUGGCCUCCCAAAGAGCUGGGAUUACAGGAAUGAGCCACCGCACCUGGCCCCAUGUGACUUUAAUAUUUUACUGCAUAUCUUCCUCGGCAAAUAACUAAAUCCUGUCAUGUGGGAGGGAGUUUGGAAAUAGUGCUUAGGAACCACCCACUAUCUCAUUUGUGAAGUCCGUUGCCACUUGCGGGGGGCGCCAGGCAAUGACAUCAACAGACUUAUCUGGUUAUGUCUUUGAGCCUUGGAUCCUUGUAAUUGUUUUGCUUGAUAAAGCUAUCUUUUGUUAUAAAAGACUUUGCCAAAAAAAAGUCUUUGGCUUAAGGCAUUUAAAUAAUGCAAGCUUCAAAGUUAGUGAACAGAUUAUGAAAAAUGUCUGAAUAGUAAUUUGGAAGGCAAUUUGCACAUAUAUUUCUAUCUGGAAGAAUAAUAGUUUGUAAACGAAAUACAUCUUAGGCCAUAAUUAUAAGUGUCAGAACAUGAAAGGAUUGGUGAAUUGGAGAAACAGAAAUUAAAAAUAAAACUUAAAAAAAUAAGUCAGAAUAUCAUAAUGGUACAAAAUAAAUGAGACAAUAGAAACAUAGACAUUUCCCUAAUUCAUAAUGUAGUUAUUUGUUCUGGAGAUUUGUUCAUUAUUGUAAAAACUAGCUACAUUUAAUCGUUUUAAUUGUUGUUAUGAAAAUACUUUGCUUCAUUUAUUUUAAAUAUAUCCUACUAAAAAAAGAGUAUAUAUAAAAACACAUGUACAAUUUAGAACAUAACGUUAAAACAAACACUUACGUAUUUUCCAACCAGCAAAAGGAAAAGAACCUUAAUGGUGAUCUUGUGUAUUUGUGUCCAGAUGCGUUUUUCUCCCUUUACCUGGGGUAACAAUCAUUGCAUAUUUUGUGUUUAUCAAUUCUUUCCUUUAGAAAUGCUUAUCCAUUUGUGUAUUUAUGCCUAAACAAUAGAUGGUUUCAUUUCGCUUGUUUUGAGCUUUAUUAUAUUUGUUUGUAGUCACCAUGGAUGUAACCUUUUUCCACGCAAAAUUAGCUUUCUAAGAAUCAUCCAUGUUGGUGGAUAUAGCUCUGUGAUAUUCCAUCAUGUGAUACUGCAAGUUAUAACUCUAGUUAUAUAUCUAUUUUCCAAUCAAUGAAUAUUUACAUUGAUCCAAAUUUUCAUUAUUAUGCACAGUCUGGCAAGGAAGACUCAUAUAUGACUCCUGGUACAUGGGUACAAGGAUUCUAUAGGCUAUAUACCUAAUCGUGGAAUUGUUGAGUCUCAGAGUAUUCAAAUGUUCAACUUGACACAUUAUCAUGAAACUGUUCUCCAGAGUGGCUUUCCAAUUUACUCUUCCACCAAAAAUGUGUUCCUAUUGAUCUACAUCUUCUCUAGAACAUCUUAUUUUAGGUAAUUUAAUUUUUUCAUUGUUAUGAAAUGGUAUCUCACUGUCUUAUGCAUUUCUCUGGUUAAUAAUGAGAUUGGUCAUAAAUUCAUAUGUUCAUUGUGAAAUGUCUAUUCUUUUGUUGCCCAUUUCAUCUAUUGGGAUGGCUAUCUUCUAACCGAUUUUACAUAGUUCUAGUGGUUGUUUAUGCAUUCUGGAAACCGGUUCUUUAUUAAUCAUAGGUGUGGCAUUAUGGUUCACAUUGUUACUCUCUUGCUAUACUGUGAUGAACAGAAGUUUUUCAUUUUCAUGAAGUAGACUUAUCAACAUUUUCUUAUGUUUUAGAUGUUUAUUUAGAAACCCUUCUCUACAAACAUUCUAAUAUUUUCUUUUAAAAGUUUUGAAGUUUUGACUUUUACAUUUAAAUUAUUAAUCAAAUUAGAAUUAUCUUCCAUAUACAUGUGAGUCCUCAAUUCUUGCUCCAUUAAACAAUUUAUCCUUCCUCGCAUCAGUAUCUUCCCACCUUAAUUGCUAUUGGAUUAUAAUAACUCUUGAUAUUUGGUGUGCCAAAUUCCCCCAACAUAUUAAUCCUUUCGGAUAUUCUAUUCUCAGCCCUUUAUUUUUCCAUAUGAAACUCAGAAUCAUGAAGUUUAUUUAAAAUUCUGCUAGGAUUUUGAUAAAAAUUUCCAUAAAAAACUUUUCAGUUUGACAUUGUUAGGACUGAGUUUUCUUAUCCAUGAAUGUGAAAUAUCUGUGUUAUUUUAUCUGCAAAAUAAAGAUAAAGAAAUAUCUUUAUUAUUGUUUAAUGUUUUUAUGAAAAGUUCAUGAUUUUUUAUCUAGAGGUAUCACACAUCUUUUUUUAGAUAUAUUCUAGGAUACUUUUUAGUUUUGUUGCUUUUGUAAGUGUUGUCAUGUUGGGAGUCUCUGAGAACCUCCUCAAGCUUGAUGACCCACUAGAAGGACUCUCAGGACUUAGAAGUGGUUAUAUUGAUGGUCACAGUUUAUUAUAACAAAAAGACACAGAUAACAAUAAACAAAGAGAAAAGGCACAUGGGGUGAAGUUCAGGAGAAAUAAGGCACAAGCCUUCAGGUAUUCCCCUCCCAGGAGUAAAUAUGCUAACUGAAGCACACAAAAAAAGAAAAGAUAAAUGCAAAAAAGAGCAUAAAAUAUAUAUGACAUAGUUUUAAAAAUGUGUAACAUGCAUGUAAUUGAAGUAUCAGAAAGAAUGGAGACAAGGAAUAGGGGAAGAAGGAAUAUUUGAAGAGAUAAUAACCAAAAACUUUCUAAAACUAACCCACAAAAUCAAGAAAUUCUGAAGAAACUAGAAAAGAUACAUGCAAAAUAAAUCCCAUUUUGGCUCAUAGUGAACUCCUGAAAGCCAAGGACAAGGACCAAUUACUUAAAGCACCCAAAAAAAAACAACAUUGCUUUCAUAAUAGCAAUAAAAGACUAAUAACUGAAUUUUCUACACAAAUGAUGGAAGCUGGAAGAUAUAAAGAUCAUAAGGAUAUAUUCUAUUCCUGGAAUUGAUGUGCCUUGGUCAUAAUGUCUUUUUUAAAAUACAAAGUUGUAAUCAGGUUUCUAAAUAGUUUAAGAUUUUUGCAUCUAAUUGUUUGGAAAGUUCCCCCUUUUUUAUACUCAUAUCUGCAUUAGCUAUCAAGGCUAAAAAUGACUGCUUUAAAAGAGUUAAGGAAAGUUUCCUCUUUGUUAUACCUAUGAAAAAGUUUAUAUACAAUUAAAAUUUGAUGAUAACAUUUGUUAUAUUUUCUUAUAGAACUAUUUGUAUUUGGUGUUCUAUUUAUGAGGAGGCUUUUAAAAUAUUGAUUUGACUUCUUUAGUAGUUGUAGGGCACUGAAGUUUUCUGGUACUCUAACUGCAGCCCACGUAACUUAUCUUAUAUUCUCAUUAUCAUUUAGUUCUAAGUAUUUUUUUACUUUCUAUUAUAAAGUAUUCUUUGACCUAGGAGGUAUUUAGAAGUUUGCUUUUAAACUGUCAAAUGUAUGAAAUUGUCUUAAUUUUCCUUUUAUUACUAAUAGCUACAUUAUUUUCCUUCUUGUGAGAGAAGGUAGUCUGUGGUACUUUUGGAAAUAUUUAAAGACUUUUUGGCCUAGUAUGUGAUAAAUUUGUGAAAAUGUUCCUUGCAUGUCAAAAAGAAUUAUCCAGAAUUAUCCAAUAAUUGGAUAAAUGUUCUUAAUAUGUUUAUUAGGACAUUCAUGUUCAUUGUGUUUACAAUUUCUAUAACAUUGCUAGUUUUGAUCUGCUUUUCAUGUCAAUACCUGAGAUAGGUCUGUUUAAAUUUCUUACUAUAAUGGUAGAUUUGUUACAAUUUCAUUGUAGCCUGUACAUUUUUGCUUUAUAUAUGCUGAAUAAAUGUUAAUAUGUGCCCAUAUAAGCUUAAACAUUAUAAUUACUUUAUCUUCCUGGAAAAUUGUAAUUUUCAUCAAUAUGUGCUCACCCCCUUUUUAUCUGGUAACUAUUUUGACCUU